rnacentral:lncRNA from 1 species
GGGGGCGUGACAGAAAAAUUACUAGUUGCAAAGUUAUACUGUUGGGGCGCAACAGAGUAGUCUAUUGUUGUUCCGGUUUUGGUUAUUGUUAAGGUUGACAUCGAUUCGUUUCAAAUUUACACUCUCGAGGCAUAAUAGAACAAUAUAAUUAGGUUUUACUCUUUGUUCGAUAGAAUGAGAAAAAGUACUCAUUGCAAAGUUAUACUGUUAGGGCGCAACCGAAUAGUCUAAUGUUGUUCCGGUUUUGGUUCUUGUGAACGCUGACAUCAAUUGGUUCGAAAUUACAACUCUCGGGGCAUAAUUGAACAAUAUAAAUUAGGUUUUACUCUUUGUUCGAUAGAAUGAGAAAAAGAACUCGUCGCAAAGUUAUACUGCUAGGGGGCAACUGAGUAGUCUAAUAUUGUUCCGGUUUUGGUUCUUGUGAACGUUGACAUCGAUUCGUUCCAAAUUUACACUCUCGGGGCAUAAUAGAACAAUACAAUUAAGUUUUACUCUUUGUUCGAUCGAAUGAGAAAAAGUACUCGUUGCAAAUUUAUAAUAUUAGGGCGCAGCUGAGUAGUCUAAUGUUGUUCCGGUUUUGGUUCUUGUGAAGGUUGACAUCGAUUCGUUCCAAAUUUACACUCUUGGGGCAUAAUAGAACAAUAUAAUUAGCUUUUACACUUUGUUCGAUCGAAUGGGAAAAAAGUACUCGUUACAAAGUUAUACUGUUAGGGCGCAACUGAGUAGUCUAUUGUUGUUCCAGCUUUGGUUCUUAUGAAGGUUGACAUCGAUUCAUUCCAAAUUUACACUCUCGCGGCAUAAUAGAACAAUAUAAUUAGCUUUUACACUUUGUUCGAUUGAAUGAGAAAAAGUACUAGUUGCAAAGUUAUAUUGUUGGGGUACAACAGAGUAGUCUAUUGUUGUUCCGGUUUUGGUUCUAGUGAAAGUUGACAUCGAUUCGUUCCAAAUUUACACUCUCGGGGCAUAAUGAAUAAAAUAAUUAGCUUUUACACUUUGUUCGAUUGAAUGAGAAAAAGUACUAGUUGCAAAGUUAUACUGUUGGGGCGCAACAGAGUAGUCUACUGUUGUUCCGGUUUUGGUUCUUGUUAAGGUUGACAUCGAUUCAUUCCAAAUUUACACUCUCGGGGCAUAAUAGGACAAUAUAAUUAGGUUUUACUCUUUGUUCGAUAGAAUGAGAAAAAGUACUCAUUGCAAAGUUCUACUGUUAGGGCGCAACUGAAUAGCGUUAUGUUGUUACGGUUUUGGUUCUUGUGAACGUUGACAUCGAUUCGUUCGAAAUUACAACUCUCGCGGCAUAAUUGAACAAUAUAAUUAGGUUUUACACUUUGUUCAAUAGAAUGAGAAAAAGUACUCGUCGCAAAGUUAUACUGUUGGGGCGCAACUAAGUAGUCUAAUGUUGUUCCGGUUUUGGUUCUUGUGAACGUUGACAUCGAUUCGUUCCAAAUUUACACUCUCGGGGCAAAAUAGGACAAUAUAAUUAAGUUUUACGCUUUGUUCGAUCGAAUGAGAAAAUGUACGCGUUGCAAAUUUAUACUGUUAGGGCGCAGCUGGGUAGUCUAAUGUUGUUCCGGUUUCGGUUCAUGUGAAGGUUGACAUCGAUUCGUUCCAAAUGUACACUCUUGGGGCAUAAUAGAACAAUAUAAUUAGCUUUUACACUUUGUUCAAUCGAAUGGAAAAAAAUACUCGUUGCAAAGUUAUACUGUUAGGGCGCAGCUUAGUAGUCUAAUGUUGUUCCGGUUUUGGUUCUUGUGAAGGUUGACAUCGAUUCGUUCUAAAUUUACACUCGCGGGGCAUAAUAGAACAAUAUAAUUAGCUUUUACACUUUGUUCGGUCGAAUGGGAAAAAGUACUCGUUGCAAAGUUAUACUGUUAGGGCGGAACUGAGUAGACUAUUGUUGUUCCGGUUUUGGUUCUUGUGAAGGUUGACAUCGAUUCGUUCCAAAUUUACACUCUUGGGGCAUAAUAGAACAAUAUAAUUAGUUUUUACACUUUGUUCGAUUGAUUAAGAAAAAGUACUAGUUGCAAAGUUAUACUGUUGGGGCGCAACAGAGUAGUCUAUUGUUGUUCCGGUUUUGAUUCUUGCUAAGGUUGACAUCGAUUCGUUCCAAAUUUACACUCUCGGGGCAUAAUAGAACAAUAUAAUUUGGUUUUACUCUUUGUUCGAUAGAAUAAGAAAAAGUAGUCAUUGCAAUGUUAUACUGUUAGGGCGCCACUGAAUAGUCUAAUAUUGUUCCGGUUUUGGUUCUUGUGAACGUUGACAUCGAUUCGUUCGAAAUUACAACUCUCGGGGCAUAAUUGAACAAUAUAAUUAGGUUUUACUCUUUGUUCGAUAGAAUGAGAAAAAGUACUCGUCGCAAAGUUAUACUGCUAGGGCGCAACUGAGUAGUCUAAUGUUGUUCCGAUUUUGGUUCUUGUGAACGUUGACAUCGAUUCGUUCCAAAUUUACACUCUCGGGGCACAAUUGAACAAUAUAAUUAGGUUUUACUCUUUGUUCGAUAAAAAGAGAAAAAGUACUCGUUGCAAAGUUAUACUGUUAGGGCGCAACAGAGUAGUCUAAUGUUGUUCCGGUUUUCGUUCUUGUGAACGGUGACAUCGAUUCGUUCCAAAUUUACACUCUCGGGNCUGGGAACUUGUUGUACACAAUCUCGUCGUUGUGCCUUGGGCGGACAGGGGAGGUACUGUCCGUACGGCGGUCCGCCGCCGUGCCCGAACCGAACCAAAUUGGUAUCGGCCUCGGGGCGGGGGCGUGACAGAAAAAUUACUAGUUGCAAAGUUAUACUGUUGGGGCGCAACAGAGUAGUCUAUUGUUGUUCCGGUUUUGGUUAUUGUUAAGGUUGACAUCGAUUCGUUUCAAAUUUACACUCUCGAGGCAUAAUAGAACAAUAUAAUUAGGUUUUACUCUUUGUUCGAUAGAAUGAGAAAAAGUACUCAUUGCAAAGUUAUACUGUUAGGGCGCAACCGAAUAGUCUAAUGUUGUUCCGGUUUUGGUUCUUGUGAACGCUGACAUCAAUUGGUUCGAAAUUACAACUCUCGGGGCAUAAUUGAACAAUAUAAAUUAGGUUUUACUCUUUGUUCGAUAGAAUGAGAAAAAGAACUCGUCGCAAAGUUAUACUGCUAGGGGGCAACUGAGUAGUCUAAUAUUGUUCCGGUUUUGGUUCUUGUGAACGUUGACAUCGAUUCGUUCCAAAUUUACACUCUCGGGGCAUAAUAGAACAAUACAAUUAAGUUUUACUCUUUGUUCGAUCGAAUGAGAAAAAGUACUCGUUGCAAAUUUAUAAUAUUAGGGCGCAGCUGAGUAGUCUAAUGUUGUUCCGGUUUUGGUUCUUGUGAAGGUUGACAUCGAUUCGUUCCAAAUUUACACUCUUGGGGCAUAAUAGAACAAUAUAAUUAGCUUUUACACUUUGUUCGAUCGAAUGGGAAAAAAGUACUCGUUACAAAGUUAUACUGUUAGGGCGCAACUGAGUAGUCUAUUGUUAUUCCAGUUUUGGUUCUUGUGAAGGUUGACAUCGAUUCGUUCCAAAUUUACACUCUCGGGGCAUAAUAGAACAAUAAAAUUAGCUUUUACACUUUGUUCGAUUGAAUAAGAAAAAGUACUAGUUGCAAAGUUAUAUUGUUGGGGUGCAACAGAGUAGUCUAUUGUUUUUCCGAUUUUGGUUCUGGUGAAGGUUGAUAUCGAUUCGUUCCAAAUUUACACUCUCGGGGCAUAAUGAAUAAAAUAAAUAGCUUUUACACUUUGUUCGAUUGAAUGAGAAAAAGUACUAGUUGCAAAGUUAUACUGUUGGGGCGCAACAGAGUAGUUUACUGUUGUUCCGAUUUUGGUUCUUGUUAAGGUUGACAUCGAUUCAUUCCAAAUUUACACUCUCGGGGCAUAAUAGAACAAUACAAUUAAGUUUUACUCUUUGUUCGAUCGAAUGAGAAAAAGUACUCGUUGCAAAAUUAUGCUGUUAGGGCGCAACUGAGUAGUCUAGUGUUGUUCCGAUUUUGGUUCUUGUGAAGAUUGACAUCGAUUCGUUCCAAAUUUACACUCUCGGGGCAUAAUAGAACAAUAUAAUUAGCUUUUACACUUUGUUCGAUUGAAUGAGAAAAAGUACUAGUUGCAAAGUUAUACUGUUGGGGCGCAACAGAGUAGUCUAUUGUUGUUCCGGUUUUGGUUCUUGUUAAGGUUGACAUCGAUUCGUUCCAAAUUUACACUCUCGGGGCAUAAUAGAACAAUAUAAUUAGGUUUUACUCUUUGUUCGAUCGAAUGAGAAAAAGUACUCGUUGCAAAGUUAUACUGUUAGGGCGCAACUGAGUAGUCUAAUGUUGUUCCGGUUUUGGUUCUUGUGAACGUUGACAUCGAUUCGUUCGAAUUUACACUCUCGCGGCAUAAUAGAACAAUAUAAUUAGGUUUUACACUUUGUUCGAUAGAAUGAGAAAAAGUACUCGUUGCAAAGUUAUACUGUUAGGGCGCAACUGAGUAGUCUAAUGUUGUUCCGGUUUUGGUUCUUGUGAACGUUGACAUCGAUUCGUUCCAAAUUUACACUCUCGGGGCAUAAUAGAACAAUAUAAUUAGGUUUUACGCUUUGUUCGAUUGAAUGAGAAAAAGUACUCGUUGCAAAGUUAUACUGUUAGGGCGCAACUGAGUAGUCUAAUGUUGUUCCGGUUUUGGUUCUUGUGAACGUUGACAUCGAUUCGUUCCAAAUUUACACUCUCGGGGCAUAAUAGAACAAUAUAAUUAGNNN